GUAGUAUUACCUCCAUCCCAAAAUUCUUGCCUUACAUUUUUUUAGAUACGGAUGUAUCUAACACUAAAAUGUAACUAGAUACAUCUGUAUUUUGACAAAUUUAAGACAAGAAUUUUGGGAUGGAGGGAGUACAAA
rnacentral:pre_miRNA from 1 species